UUCCGUCUGUGCAACAUUCCCCAGCACGCAGAACUGAACAGCGUGGAGGUGCGGGAGUGCAGGCGCUGGCCAUGUCUCGCCAAGGCAGGGCGCCGUGGCACCUACCAGAUUACAUUCACUCCCUAUACAGACGAGCCAGUGGGGCGUCUGAAGAGCGAUAUCUACGCGUGGGUGCGCCUCCCUUACGGCCCACAGGAGUCUAUACGCGUGGCAGUCCCGGGGGAGGAGAAGCAGCCCCUGUGCGCCUACCUGUCCCCUCCCUGCCCCCUGCCCCCCGCCUCGCCUGCCACCGUCACCAAGUCCCUCACCAUCCCCGUGCAGGCCAGGAUGGCGGUCGGGAACAGAGUGGGCGUGGAAUUUCGAGUGACAGACGAAGCAGGGCGUGUCAUGACCUGCUUCCACGCCCCUGUCAUUGUGGCCUGAGGGCGUGGCUGAGGAAGGGCGGGGGUGAUGGAAAUGGGUGAAGAAGAAGAGGAAGAUAAACAGAAAGAUAAAUGAAGAAGAAGAAGAAGAAGAAGAAGAAGAAGAAGAAGAAGAAGAAGAAGAAGCAUACUCCCACAAUAACAACAAUCUCUCUCUCCACCUCUACUAUACUCACCUCCACAUCACUUCAUCCACUUCAUAUUAUUAUUAAGAUUCCACUGUACGCCUCCACGCGGUUUACAAGGGUCAGCGGUCAGCACAUGCAACCUCCCCCUCUGGCCUCCGGGUGCACACUGGUUGUCACGUGGGGCUUUCUGUGGCACUGCGCAGGCGUGGUGGAAUUUCGUAAAUGAAUUAAAUUUGUGUGUUUCUUUUAUUUGUAAGCUUUUUAGGGUUAGUUUCAUGUAUUAUAAAUCAUUUGUUUGAUUUUUAGUAUUUUUUUGUAUUGUUUGUUGUUUAUUUUGGCUAUGUUUAAAAUUGCGAUGAAUAAUUUCUUAAAAAAGUAAAUUUGAGUAUAUAUUUUUCUUUUAUAAAUUUGUAUAUCAUUUUCUGGAUAUUUUUUUCCUUCAUCAUUGUCUUUUUUUGUCUAAUUUUAGUGAAGCUAAUUUCUUAAAAAAAACAAAAUUUGAAUAUACUUUCUGUUUUAUGUUCGUAGUAUUGAAACUCAUGUAUUCCCAAUUACCUGUGUUAUUAUUUUGCUGUAUUUUAUCGUGUAUUUUGUAUUGUUUUUUUAAGAAUACCGAAUUUCUCAGAUUUGAAUUAGAAUGAUAUAAUUAGAUAAUGAUAACUAUUACGCUACUAUUAUUAUUAUUAUUAUUAUUAUUAUUAUUAUUAUUAUUAUUAUUAUUAUUGUAAG